UACGUAGGGGGCAAGCGUUGUCCGGAAUUAUUGGGCGUAAAGCGCGCGCAGGCGGUUCAUUAAGUCUGGUGUUUAAGGCUGGGGCUCAACCCUGGUUCGCACUGGAAACUGGUGGACUUGAGUGCAGAAUAGGAAAGUGGAAUUCCACGUGUAGCGGUGAAAUGCGUAGAGAUGUGGAGGAACACCAGUGGCGAAGGCGACUUUCUGGGCUGUAACUGACGCUGAGGCGCGAAAGCGUGGGGAGCAAACAGG
rnacentral:rRNA from 1 species